UGCGAGACAAAUGGGCAGCAGCAGCCUAAAGAUCAGUCCGCACACCAUCUGAGAGGCCAUGGCUCCGGGCGGCCCAGGUCCAGGUAAAACAAGCCGGAGUUCGUCCCUCUGUGCUCAGGCUCUCUCUUCUCGCAUCCCAGUCUGGUGCGCUCUCUCAGAUCCCGGCUGGCUCCUGCGGGCGGCCACAUCGGCUCUCCGCUGCUGCAGACACCUGGACUCCGGCCAUUCCACAGGCGGGGAACGAGCGCACUCACCGUGGGUCGCCACAGCAGGAGGUGUCGCCCCUUACCGAUGCCAGCAUGGUAGUUUUUCAGAAGCGGAGAUGCGCUGAGGUCAUGGUGACGGAUUCAGGUGCGCAGACGAGCUGCGCUGCAACGGCGCGCCAAACAACCGGAGAGAGGAGCCAACAAGUCCGCAAGUCCAAUUAACCUCCUUUAGAAACGCAAAAAAACUUCAACUAGACGCCGCAGAAACUACUAACCAGCGCUGUUUUCACUCCCUGGUUCUGGAUGGCUGGGAUAAGACGCAGAAACAGCGGAGGAUACAGGACGAGCCAGAGAGGGACAGCCGCGUCAGCCAAUCAGAAGUGAGCGCCUGGAGUGCAGGAGGAGCAGAGGAGGAGGGCAGUGAUGGGAGGAACCCAAAACGAUCCCAGCGAACCUCCCUGCGCUUCUGAAAAAGGAAACUCACAGCAGCAAAGGUCCAACUCGUGAUGUGAUGAAUCACCAGAGCGACGAUUCGCUUCACAGAAAUAAGAAAAGUAAACAGCUAAAAGCAGAAAACCUCUAACCUGAAGUUGCACUUUUCCCCGGCGAUCCAGACCGGCUGGACUUUUUUUUUUUUUUUUUAGGUCAAUGUGGGAGCAGUCGGCGCUGAAGGCGAUCAAUAACGCUGCCCCAAAACAUGUCAGCUGGUGAUUGGCUGGCGCUGUUUGAAGCAGAUCUUAAGUAACAUCUUGUCUUUGAUUCAUUAUUCAUCCAAACCUUGAGAAGGAACGUAUCGACAAAAUCUCUGGGUCAGAUGGAGCCUCGGGUCAGGCUGCUCCACAAGCACCUGCAGCUUAAUUCAGGAAAUAUCAUAAAAACAACCAGAUUAACGAUCCGGUUGAAAUGGUUCCAGUGACAUUUCUGCCUCACAAACUUUACUGAAUCAUAUUUUUUAUGACGCUAAGGAGGGUUUUGCUCUGUACUUUAGGUUGUGUUUCAUGUAGUAAAACAUUCUAAGGUGGUUUGGCUUGAAAAACAAACCCCAGCUUCAUAACUGUAAAACGUUUCUCUCAGAGCUAAACCAAAUCACUUGGAGUUGUGUUGUCUGACCUUUGACCCGUCAUUGUUUAAUUUUCUGAGACUCAACUUUAGGUUUUCUGGAGCCAUAAUCAUCAAAAUUGUGUGUAGAGAGACUAUAUAAUAUAUCAGCUUCAUUUUCUGAAAUAAAAUAUUGAA